AAUAAAGCCUGACGCUCCCUCCCCUCCCCCUGAGCGGGGGUUGAACCUGGGGAUGUAGGGCGGCGGGGAAGGAAGGGAGGGACUCAGGAAGAGGGAAGAGAAGAAAGUCCCGCAGGCUUACAGUGAAGAGGCUUGGGGUGGAAAGGACAACGCUCUUUCUCCAGGGUCCAGCUAAGCCAGUUCAAGGGCACCCUCGGUUCUGGAGACCCUGGGAGCAAGGACAAGAGGGCGUGAGGAGGGAAGGAAUGAUGGGCACCGACCACAGAUGGGAUCUUUCUAUGCAGCUCAAACUCACUACGGAACUCAGCCUGCCCUCCAAACUGGCAGUCCUCCUGCCUCAGCUUCCCAAGCGCUAGGAUUCCAUGCAUGUGGCACCAUGCCUGACUUAAAAGUGAGUUCUUUCAAUAGAAAAGAGGUUUUGUCCUGACAGCUUCAACAGUUUUUAAAUAAAACGUGCUACCAAUGUGAGGUUCCGUCUACUGUUUGUUAUUUGAAAACAUCCGUUGAACAGUAAAGGCCAUCAAACACGCUGACCCAUUCUCUGUCACAACACACAUUUCAAA